GUCAUUGCUCAGUGGUUAGAGCAUCUGCUUUGCAUGCAGAAGACCCCAGGUCCAAUCCCUGAUGGUAUAUCUA